GUUACCCUGUGCUCAUAGUUACUGUAUGAAAUGUAUAGAGGAAUGGUAAGUUAACCAGAGACUACAUUACCCUGUGCUCAUAGUUACUGUAUGAAAUGUAUAGAGGAAUGGUAAGUUAACCAGAGACUACAUUAUCCUGUACUCAUAGUUACUGUAUGAAAUGUAUAGAUGAAUGGUAAGUUAACCAGAGACUACAUUACCCUGUGAUCAUAGUUACUGUAUGAAAUGUAUAGAGGAAUGGAACGUUUCACACAACACGUGCCCAUUGUGCAGAGAGAAGUUGGAAAGCACAGAUGAAUCAUGGGUAAUAUUUGAUGCCCCUGAUUUUAAGGAAGUACAAGAGGAACUACAACAGGCUUUGCAAUGCAUUGCAGAAGAAAAGUGAGAAGAUGCUUAACUGACACGUGAAGAACGAAGGCUACCUGAACUUUUAUACAUUAGACAUUUAUAUGUAUACAGUAAUACCCCGUUUAGCACUCAGUAAGAGCUCUAAACGAAUUAGCUGUUAACAGGGUCAUUUUAACAUCACAUAUAUGGAGAUAUGUAACUAAAGGCAUUGUUUUUUACCUGUGAUUUAUGUAUAAGUGCUUUAUUUAGGUACUGGUAAACACAGAUUGCUCCAGUACAGUAUUAUUUAUUAAAGUAAAAGAACACUUAAAAAAACAAAGAAACACAUUAAACUGGCAUCUAUUCACGAACUGGUGCUGACCCCAGGGUGGAAGGCAGUGGGUAGUCAGAGGCACUGGACAUCAUUUGGCUCUUUAUAAUGAAGAACAUGAGUGCUGCAUCAUCCUGAAUUUCUGGUAGUAUGAGAAUAGUGACAUUGUUUCUCUAAACAUCCCCUCUUCUCUAUUCAUUCAUCACCCUUCUAAUAUGUAUGAAGUUUAAUGUAAAUUACUCACUAUAAUACUGUCAUCCCUGGAAAAAAUCAAAUUUUUGUUAGCCUUCAAUCUUAUUUGGUUACAGAACCAUCAAAUAGGAAAUCAGCCCCCUCGUGCCACAUUCUGUCUUUCAGGAUUUGUCAAUACAUGUAGUUCUCUCUUACGUUUACGACUAUAUUAGUUAUAACCAAUAGACAGGCAAGGUUUUUGUCUGUCAUGUGACGUAUUAUAUUAUGUUGUUUUCUGUACAGAGAUUUGUAGAUCGCUUCCUAAGAAAAUGUUUUUUCCCACAGGAACGAUAUUGUGUAGAUGGAUGUAGCAUCGCUAAUAAUGCAAGAAAAAUUGUGACAGUUACGGAACAUUGUCUGCUCUUUGCAUGUUAUUAUUCUACAUUCUUUGUUGCAUUAUUUUAUUAAAUAAAAAUUAUUUAGUGCACUACAACCAUUAGUAUGAAAAAGUAGUGUUCAGACAAUUAUGGAUUUUCAUAAUUUUUUUUUUCUCACUCAUGAAAAAAUAUAAUCUUUCGUGGAGACGAGCUCUAUAACAGAUCAGCUUAAAGCAGGGUGGCACUAAGCGGGUUCUUACUGUAGCUAUGUGCAUUACAGGAACAUGUUUUCCCUAUGUAUUAACAUAUUGUAUACCAUGAGUGUUUAACAGGAAGAAUUUUAUUGUUCAAGUAAUAAUUUGUUGAGAAUAUUUGUAAAUCGUAGUCUUAGUCUUAUAAUGUUGUGGUAUCUUUCAUGAAGGUCACUUGAAAAAAUAUUUGUUUUACAUAACUCAUAUUACAAUAAAAUAUUCUUCUCAAUUUAAAGCUUAAGUUUAGAUUCAUAGCACAGAACCACUGUUUUUCCAAUUAAAAAUUUUAUGAAAGAUAACUAUACACAACUUUUUUUCAUUCAAUGUUUUGUUUUUUUACUCAAGUUACAAUUCAGUUAAACAGUUUUAUUGUUCAUAGGCUUAAGGGGUCAGUCGCAAGUUGUGACAUUUUCAUAAGCAUACAAAAUAUAUGUUAGGGGUAUAGCUUGUGUACUUCAUAAAAAAAAAAAAGACAUUAUUUCCCCUCAACAAAUUACAAAACUUUGUCAAAUUUUGUGGUUUCAAACACUUAUUGUUUGUUUCCUAUUUAUAAUUAACGUCUGAUAGUACCUAUUUAAAAAAAAACUUUAUUUUAUGUGUGUACUUUUAAAUUUAAAGAGGAGUGGGGAUCAUAAAGUGCAUAUUUUGUGCACUAGUGAAAAUGAUGAAUGCCUCCUUCCCCAUUAAACUAGCAGCCCCAACAUUAAUGAUUUUAAUUAUAAUUUAUAAUUUUUUUAAUUAGGAAAUUAUUUAGCAGUUUAGUUGUUGUUGUUUUUAUAAUUAAACAUUUUUAAAUAUGCUGGUAAGAAUUUUACUUGGAUUUUUUUUACAAUUUUUCCAAAGUUACUUAAUAUUAAGGGACUAUCUGUAAUGGAAGAAAUUGUGAAGUUUAAUAUAUAUAUAUAAAUAAGAAUUUUAACUUUUGAAUAAGAAAAAAAUCAUUAACUUGUAAUUAGAGGAACUAGAAUGUGUCAACAAAUACUUUUUUUUUUCAAUUUGAUUAUAUGCCUCAUUUGUAUUGUAACCUGAAGUGUUACAUUAAUUUACUGAGAAAAUUAAUUUGAUUGUAUUAGUAAAAGUCCACAGGUGAGUCACAAGUCUAGAUAAGUCAGAUACCAUAAAAUAUUCUACACAUUUUAAUUUGUAAUAUGAAUGACAUCAAUCCUUCAGCACGAGAGGGUGUGUGUGUGUGAUAGAGUGCUGAUGACUGGUUAUCUUACCUGUGGGAGUAAUUCAAAGGGCACACGUGUGUCCUAGUGGUUAGCGUGCUGAACCGUGGAUCUGAGGUUCCAUGGUUCGUAGCUCAUCUCUGCCAUAAAUAGAAACCAAGCUUUGCACUGUAGGGCCAUGGGUAUGUUACAGAAGUGUAGGUCAAAUCCCACUAGUUGAUUAGCAGCCAAGAGUUGGCAGUGGUUGGUGUUGACUAUUUGCCUUCCUUCUACUGUAGUACUGGUAGCCUGCGAUUAGCUUUACACGAAAUUCAACAAACAACGUCAGCUCAAAAUUAGGGAUGACAGCAAAUAGCCUUCAUAGCUGUACCAUAAGUAUAAUGACCCAUGUUGCAAGAUAUAGCUGAAACUAUGAUCAGAUGUAUAUAGCCUGAUAAUGUUCGGUGGGAAUUUGUUAGUACAAAGUUUUACAAAAACAAGGUUUAUAAAAUUGGUACAUUGUGGCCUACAUUAUCUGUUGAAACAAUUGCUAAAAAUCGUGGUUAAGAAUAAAAUAUUUAAGUGAGCCGUUAUCAAAUAGUGGUAUCGUACAGUUUAGAAUGCUCAUCAGUCUGCCUUAAGCAGAUAUGUUUUGUUUCAACAGAUUUUGUACGUGUGUUCUUUUUAAUUAUUUUAAACUAAUAUCUUUUAUGUAAAUAAAUUUGUUGAAAUUUUCAGUACCUAACUAAAUCUAACAAAAAAAAAAUAUAUCAGUAGUCACAUCGUCAUAUUUAUAUAUUUUAUGUUGAGAAUUAUAAAGAGAUAUGUUCCAAUUUCAUCGUUAAGUUAAGAAGGAUUAGGGCAUGCACAGGUAGCAAUUUUUGUAAAAUAACAAACUGGCAUUUAGUAGCAAAAUUAACUUAGGAACAUCAGCCGUUUUUUGUGUUUUUAACAAGUAGAAUUUAAACCUCCCUUUGUUGAAGUUAUCUUAACUUUUUUUUUUGUAUGAAUUCAAUUUAUGUACAAAAUGAAUGGAUACACCUCUAAAUCUUUAAUGUGCACUUAGUGGUGUAUGUAUUAAGCCUUUUACAGGAAUAUAUUUAGAUGACAUAGAUUAUUUUAUCAUUAGAAUGCACCAGACUUUUCUAUAAGAAUUUAAGCUUGUUUGUUUUUAUGGUAUAAUUUAUGUCACUAUUAUUUGUGUUCUUCUAACAUCAUUAGAUUCUAUGUCAUAGGGUAAUAAAUAUCAAAAUUUGUUUGUUAUUUACCCUGUAGCUACCAUCUCAACAUAAAGUUUAGGUAACUAUUUUGUAUGGAGAAUUUUAACAAUUUACUAUGUAUGUAUUCUUGUUCUAGCAGCUGUAUCAGCUUUCACAACCAUUAGUUUUUUUUUACCUCCCUGAUGAGAUUACUGGCAAUAUUGAGUAAUUUCAAAAUAACAGCAGUAUUGUUAAGACCCCAGAGUAACAAAUAGUCCAAUUAGUUAUGAAAAUAUUAUUAUAGCAUAAGUUAUAUUAAAACUAUAGUAAUAACGUAGGUUUAGGGGAGUUGUGAAAGUAUAACUAGAUAAUGUAUCUAAAGUACAAUAUUUAAUACAUAGUUAAGUCAUAAUUUUCAAGACAAAAAGAAGCUUUCUAUCAUUGAUGCUUAUACUAUUGUUAUUACACAUUGUUUAAAAAAGACAGUUUGUUGCUUAGUGUUGUUAGUUAUCAUAAAGUAAAAUUUUAAAUCCAACUUAUAAUGUAUUUUAGUAUUCAUUUAAUAGAAAAUUUAUGAAGCAAUUUUUUAAAUCUGUUCAGAUAAAACAGUUGAUUUUAAAUACAGAAGAUAUUUUUUGAGUCAGUCAAAAAAAAAAGAUUUAAUAUAUUAACAGCCAGUUUGUAAGAAAAGAUACUCGUGUUUGUCCAAUUUUGAAAACAUGAUUAAUUGUGUUUUAAAUAUUAUUUCCCGGUGAAGACUAAGGAUGUAAUUUAUUAUGCAUCAUGAGUGUAAAUAAACUUUUUUGAUUGAAAAUUACCAGCAUCGUUGGCUUGUUUUGGCACUGUAAACAUUACUUGUAGAAGCACGAAAAUAAAAGUAUUAUACGUA